rnacentral:rRNA from 1 species
UACGGGGGGGGCAAGCGUUGUUCGGAAUUACUGGGCGUAAAGGGCUCGUAGGUGGCCAACUAAGUCAUGCGUGAAAUCCCUCGGCUUAACUGGGGAACUGCGUCUGAUACUGGAUGGCUUGAGUGUGGGAGAGGAAUGCGGAAUUCCAGGUGUAGCGGUGAAAUGCGUAGAUAUCUGGAGGAACACCGGUGGCGAAGGCGGCCACCUGGGCCGGAACUGACGCUGAGGCGCGAAAGCGUGGGGAGCAAACGGG